rnacentral:lncRNA from 1 species
ACUGGAUGUGGAGAGCCUGGCCGGACCCUGCCACACUCAGGGGCACGGGUAUCAGCAAGAGCCCCUGAGCAUGAAGAGAGCAGAGAUGGGGUCCCGGCCUCUGUGGGGUCUGGAAGUUCCCGGCUGAUGCCUCCCAUCCCCCAGCUCCAUGCUCCUGGGCUUUUGAGCCCCUCCACUCACCCUGUGAGGCCUUGUGAUGUGGAGAAAUUUGUAGAUAUGCAUGCCAUCGAAUGCCAGAAAGAACAGAAGGUAGCUUACAUCUGGUGCUGUAGCAUGCAGUCAGUGUUUAUCUGAGGUUACUGUGAGCCAGGCAUGGGGCGCUCACGUUCUCACCUGGACGUACCAGGGGGAUGACAGCAGAGAAAAGGCUGGGACCAGGAGGAGGAGGAAGAGGCUGGAUAUGAAGCCCGAAGACCCACUGUUACUCCAGGCCAGCUUGGAGCUUCCUGAGGGCCUUUGGGAAAAGGGAAAAGGUUUCUACCUGAAGAGGCACGGGUCUUGUUGGUGAGCCCUGCCCUUCCUGGCGGAGACAUCCCUGGGUGGGCUAGGCCUGGAGAAGGCUACCACCCAGCGUUGGUGACCCCAGCACCAUGUUGGGAAACAUCGGG